UACGAGGGGUGCAAGCGUUGCUCGGAAUUAUUGGGCGUAAAGGGUAGGUAGGUGGUCUUAUUUGUCUGGGGUGAAAGCCUUGAGCUUAACUCAAGAAGUGCCCCAGAAACGGUAAGACUGGAGUCCUGGAGAGGCUAGCGGAAUUCCCGGUGUAGCGGUGAAAUGCGUAGAGAUCGGGAGGAACACCAGAGGCGAAGGCGGCUAGCUGGACAGGCACUGACACUCAACUACGAAAGCGUGGGGAGCAAACAGG
rnacentral:rRNA from 1 species